rnacentral:lncRNA from 1 species
GCAGGUCCGCCUUGUUGCCAACAAGCAUAAUGACAAUAUUGGAGUCCGUGUGAUCUCGUAGCUCCUUCAACCAUCUCUCAACAUUCUCAAAUGUGACAUGUCGAGUAACAUCAUAGACGAGCAAUGCACCAACAGCUCCUCGGUAGUAUGCACUUGUAAUUGCUCGGUAUCUUCGUAAGGAAUAUGACAAGAAAUCAACUCUCAAAAAGCUUAUAGAACACAUUAAUACAACUAAUAAAAUAUAUGACAUUGUGAAAGCUUACUCUGGUACCUUUUACCCAGAGAAACAUCACUGAGAAAAUUAUCUGUGCAACUAGAAAGUUCUGUUGUGCACACAACAGUUUUCCUGCCUCAUGCAUGGCAAGCAGAGUUGAAGACAGAACAGAAGACAUGACUUCUAAAGGCAUGUAAAGAUGCUUUUCACAUAAGUUCAAGCAUCAAAAUUUACAAAUAAUAGGACAUUCAUCAGAACUGAAACAAAAACCACAACAAUGUCCUAAAUUUCAAAAUAUCAUAUAAUAGUACUUUAAGACUAGAACAAGGUUUCCUUAGUAGAAUUAAUACAAUAAUCAAAGCUGAAAAUAACAGACAAAUUCUUCUUAACCCAACAACAAUAAAUACAAUGUUUCAUAGAUUAGACAGACAAGUGAUAGAAUAUACAAGGGAUAUUCUAGAGAUGCUAACAGAUACAGCUCAAUGAUUCAACUUGGACUUUUAAGAGUAGUAGGUGCACUCUAUGUUUUCGUUAAUGGAACAGACAUUAAAUAAAUUAGACCCACUACGUUUUCUGUAUGGCUCAUCCAUGAGUAAACCAACUGUUGAUUUUAUAUAUAAUCUAUUCAUAAACAUGACACAUGCUAAUUUCUAAACCAAAUCGACUUUGCAGCAUGCUAAUCAAGAAAAUUGUCUUUGACAUAUUCUUAAAACAACGGACCAAUCCAAAAAAACGCUUUCUUUUCGCCAAAUAACCAAAAUCCAAGUCCACAUGCUUUAACAUUAAAAAGAAAAAAAAAAUCUGAUCGCAACUCAUUCCCACAUUAUCCCAGCAACCAAACAACCUAAAAAGAAAAAACCAAAAUUCCAAGUACCCAUUUCACCAAACCAAUACACCAAUCCAAGAUACACCUCCUUUUCCUCAAAUCUCUCAAAAUUACAAAACCCCUUAAAACUAAAAAAAAAGAACAAAACAAAACAAAUGAGAAAUAAGAGUGAACAUUUAAAACAAGAAAGUGAGUUUAAAAAAUGUACCUUUCUUGUCCAGCGGUGUCCCAAAUCUGGGCCUUAACGAUCUUAUCAUCGACCCGAAUGCUUCGGGUGGCGAAUUCGACUCCGAUUGUGGAUUUGGAUUCAAGGCUAAACUCGUUCCUCGUAAAUCUAGACAACAAGUUCGAUUUCCCCACACCCGAAUCCCCGAUCAGCACCACCUUGAACAAAUAAUCAUAGUCGUCAUCCGCUCUAUAUGCCGCCAUUUCGGGUCACCGGGUUGGAAUCUUUUUGUCGGAUUUAUUUUAAAAAAUUGGAUUUUUCGAGGAAAUUUUUAUCAAAUGGCAGAGAUCGGUGGCAUUAGAGAGGGAGAGAGAGAGAUUUCGACAUUGGCAAAAAUAAAGUGAAAUGCGGGGUUAGAUUCCGGAGGGGAUAAGGAUUGGGUCAAGUAAGGUAAUGAAUUUGGUGAUCCGGCCCAAUUAAGUUAGUGGGCCAAUUUAACGGAAAAGUGGGUUUUUGGAAUUUUUUUUGGAGCAGCCAACUUAAUAGAAUAAUAAUAAAUAGUAAGCACAAUAAUUAAAAGAAUUUUUAAAUUAUUUUAAAAAAUUUUAAAUAAAGUUUUAAUUUUUUAUCACUUCGAAUAAGUUUUUUAUAUUUUUUUAGAUUAAAUAAAUUUUUAUCAUUAACGGUUAAAUAAUUAAACGUUAUUUAUCAUUUUAUGUCAUGUAAUGUUGAUAUGAUAUGUUAACAUAUUAUAUAUAUAUAUAUUUUUUUUUUGAAAUUAGAAAAAUAAGAUUUCGAAUCUUGCUUUUUAAGUAAGAGAUCAUGUAUCUAUUAAUAAAUCAAAUAUUUAGAUAACAUGACAUAUUGAUGUGAUAUAAUGACAUGAUAAUAUAAUCAUACGAUAUUUUUUACCUCACAUUAACUUAAUUGAUACAAAUAAUUAUCAUUAAUCAAAACUUGACUUGUAAUUUUAUGUCAUAUUAUAUUAAUUUAAUAUAUUAAUAUAUUAUAAUUAAUAAUAAUGUGAUAUAUUAAUAUUAUAAAAUAAUAUAUAAUUUCAUAUAUUUUUUAACUCCAUGUGAUCGUGGACUAAAUCGAUAAUCAAGUUUUUUUGUUCUUUAUAUUUAUGGUUGUGUUGAUAAAUGGAAAGGUGUAGGCAUAUCCACUCAACCAAUAUGAUACAAGCUUUCGGCUUUGGCUAGCCAUAAGAUAGAAUGUCAAAAACUGAGAAGACACUUUGAAAGAUAGAAGUCCUGGGAGUGUAUUUCCUGGCCUGGGUCGUGUUCGUUGACUACCUUUCAUUAGUUCUAGCUGCCAACGGUCCCUGGCCAACUGCAUUUAACUAUUUGACUAGCCAAAUGUUUUCCCCUUUCCGGAAUUAAUUCUAUAGUCAAACCUGGCAAAUUCAAACUUCAAGUACUGGUAUCUGUAUAUUUCAGCUCAUUACUUCGAAGAAGCUCCUGAUUGGUCAGCUACAAGAAGAGUAGAAAACACAGUCAACGUGGUCUUCCCAACUUGCAAGUAGGAGUGAACAAUUAGUCGAUUCCAUUGAUUUAGUCAAUUAUAAUUAAUGAUUAAAUAAAUUAAAUAUUUUUAAAAAUUCGAUAAGAAUUGACCAAAUAUAAAAGAAAAUCGAGUUAGUUAACUAUCGAAUUGAAAAUCAAUAAAUUUAAAAAAAUUGUAAGAUUUAAAAUAAAAACAUAUAUUUUAUAUAAAUUUAAAAAUAAUAUAUAUAAUAUUAUCAUAUAUAUAUAUAAUUAGUUUGAUCUUUUGAUUGAUUCGGUUUAAAAAUUUUAAAAUUAAGAAACAAUCAAAUAAAUCAAUUAAAUUAAACUUUUCAGAUUAAUAAAUUUAAUAAACCAAUUAGAUCGAAUAGUUUUACCUAAAUCACAUUUAAAUCAGUUCGGUUGAUCCGGUACAAUUUUGCUCACACCCUACUUGCAUGCACCUCCAUGAAAGUGAACUGUUAUGAGCUUUGAGAUUCUUUUCUUUUAUAAUGCUUCAAUAUGAAAAACUCUAGCAGUGAGUUGUGAAAGCUUGGGAAGCGAUGGACAUUUUAUCUUUCAUUUCGAUCAAAAUCAUCUUGCUUAGUUUCUUCUCUAGAUUCUCUGUUGGAAUCGAUUACUUUACCUCCUCAGAGUCUUUAAGUGAUGGCAGGACCUUGGUUUCCAGAGAUGGAACCUUUGAACUGGGUUUCUUCAGCCCUGGAAGCUCCAUGAAUCGUUACUUGGGAAUUUGGUACAAGAAAAUCCCUGUCCGAACUGUUGUUUGGGUUGCAAACCGGCGCAACCCAAUCAAUGACUCGUAUGGUAUGCUGUUGCUCAACAGAAAAGGCAAUCUUAUGCUGCUCAGUCGAAGCAACGGUGUUGUUUGGUCAACAAAAUCAACAAAGAUAGCGCGAAAGCCAACAGUACAGCUCUUGGAUUCUGGAAAUCUUGUCCUAAGAGAUGAAAGUGAUGAUAGUAAUUCAGAAAGAGCUCUUUCGUGGCAAAGCUUUGACUAUCCAACUGAUACUCUUCUACCAGGGAUGAAGUAUGGAUCGGACUUGAGAACUGGUCUUGAUCGCCGUUUGACAGCAUGGAAGAGCUAUGAUGAUCCAUCUCCUGGAGACUUCACUUCUGGCGUCGAGCUAAAUAAUUACCCUGAUUUUGUUGCAUGGAAGGGUACAAAGAAACUCAUUCGGACAGGCCCCUGGAAUGGCGUCGGAUACAGUGGUACACCCUUGUUAAAGCCUAGUCCUGGUUUUCACUUCGAAUUUGUAUGGAAUAAUGACGAGGUGUACUUCAGAUUUUGCCUCGGCAAUCAAUCAGCUAUCAUGAGGUAUGUUUUGAACCAAACCAUCUAUCAGGCUCAGGGCUACUUUUGGAUUGAAGGAAGUAGAAGUUGGAUGCUUUCUACUUAUCCACCGACUGAUUUCUGUGACAACUUUGGACUCUGUGGUGCAUAUGGGAUUUGUGACAGUGCUGAAGCGCUACCUUGUCAAUGUUUGAAAGGAUUCAAGCAUAAAGCUUCACGGUAUUGGGACUCCAUCAACUGGUCUCAAGGAUGUGUUCGCAAUAAGCCAUUAGACUGCCAGAAGGGAGAUGCAUUUAUCAAAUUUGGUCGAUUGAAACUGCCAGAUACAGAACAUUCUUGGGUAGACAAAAGCAUAAGUCUCAAAGAAUGCAGGGCUAAAUGUUUACAGAACUGUUCUUGUAUGGCCUACACAAACACAGAUAUAAGAGGACAAGGAAGUGGUUGUGCCAUUUGGUUUGGAGAUCUGAUUGAUAUCAAACAGUUUCAAGAUGGUGGGCAAGAACUAUACAUUCGAAUGUCUACUUCUGAAGCAGGUAUAUGAGCUAAUUACUUUUGAUUGUGAUAAGUAUCAAGUAUUUCCUUGAAGUUAUAUUACCAAGUAUUAAAGCAUUUAACGCUGCAGCAUUUGUGCAUCAAUUCUCAGCUCUAAUUUAACUAACUUCUUUCUUUUUCUUUCUUGGAUUCAUUGAAUUGUCCUUGUCCAUGAAGAGCCAAAAGGUGAGGUUAAAAUGAAGCUUGCAGUCAUACCUCCAGCUGUCAUUUUCUUAGUUGUUGGUGUGCUUCUUGUCUGCUAUUACUUUCGCAGAAGCCGUACAAGAAUGCAAGGUAAAGCGAUCUGCCUUCAGAAAUCAUAUUUCAACAAUGCUUUAGAGAAACUUCAGAAAUGUAAAGAGUGCUAGAAACUUCCCCUGGUUCUUUUGAGAAAAGAUCCAAAAGAACUCAGACACAAUCAUAUGGUGGCUGUGAGAGGAAUUUUGAGGUUUUGUUCAGAAAUAUGUUGGACCAAAACCAACAAAGUGGUCAUAACCCAACAUUCUAUGGCUAAUGUUAGCACGUUUGGCAACUGUUUCAGGGGAAAAUGAAAAUCAUGGUGUAAAUAACAGGAGCAAUGCAGGGCAAAAGGAAGAUAGAGAACUUGAAUUAUUCGACCUAGCUGUGUUAGCUAAAGCCACCAAUGGCUUCUCAUCUGACAACAAGCUGGGAGAAGGUGGUUUUGGGCCUGUUUACAAGGUAAAUUUGCACUGUUCUGCUUAAAUGAAUGUUAGACGAAAACAUUCUUACAUAUAGUACAUUAUUUUCAGGGUACUAUGGAAGAUGGACAACAAAUUGCUGUGAAGAGGCUCUCAAUCCGCUCAAGACAAGGAUCAGAUGAGUUCAAAAAUGAAGUAGCACUGAUCGCCAAACUUCAACAUCGGAAUCUUGUAAAGCUUCUUGGAUGCUGCAUCCAAGGAGAGGAGAAAAUGCUGGUGUAUGAAUUUAUGCCGAACAAAAGUCUGAAUUUCUUCAUUUUCGGUAAUGGAUCCCUCAAAAAACCUGAAAAAUUUCUGUAGGCUAGUGCAUAUAUAUAAUAAAUGGAGACUGAAUUUCAAUAUAAUACAUGCAUGUCAGACAGAGCAAGGCACGAGCUACUAGAUUGGCCAAAGCGUUUUCAUAUUAUCAAUGGAGUUGCUCGGGGGCUUGUCUAUCUGCAUCAAGAUUCCAGAUUGAGGAUUAUACACAGAGAUCUUAAAACUAGUAAUAUUCUCCUUGAUAGUGAGAUGAAUCCAAAAAUUUCAGACUUCGGCUUGGCUAAAACUUUUGGAGGAGACCAGACUGAGGGGAAUACAAAUAGAGUGGUUGGAACUUAGUAAGUGGUUAACUGCACAUUCAUGAAUUUAACUGUAAAACAUCACUAAUGUUGCUUUCUUUUGCUGAUUUUCUACAGUGGUUAUAUGGCACCAGAAUACGCUAUCAACGGGCAAUUCUCAGUAAAAUCAGACGUUUUCAGCUUCGGGAUACUGGCGCUGGAGAUUAUAAGUGGCAAGAAAAAUAAAGGGUUUUACAAUCCAAGCCAUGACCUCAACCUGAUUGGACAUGUAAGCAUGAAACUUACUUGUUAAAUGUUGAUGUACUUUGAGAAGGAGAAUGACCAACAGCUUAUAAUUUUGUCUUAGGCUUGGGCACUGUGGAAGAAAGAAAAGCCAUUAGAACUGAUUGAUUCGUUUUUACAAGAGUCAUGCUCUCUGUCGGAAGUGGUGAGGUGCAUCCACAUUGCUCUCUUAUGUGUGCAACAACGUCCUGAUGAUAGACCCAACAUAUCAUCUGUGGUUCUUAUGUUGGGUAGUGAGAUUGCCCUAGUAGAACCCAAGGAACCCAGUUUCCUGAUGGACAAUAAGUCACUAGAAACAGAUUCUUCUUCAAGCAAUAUUAAAUUGUCAAAUAAUGAUGUUACUAUCUCAAUUUUGGAUGGUCGAUAGAGAAAUAUUUAACUAUAUGUCUUACUCUGUCAUUGUCUUCGCAAAUGUUUGCUCAUCAUGCAAUUUGUACAUUACAUUUCUACAUCCAUGUUUGCGAUAUGUAAGGAUUGGUUGUUCUGUUUCUCAUGUUAAAUUCAGAAGACAGAUCUUGUAGAAAGAUUCCUGAAGAAAUUUAUGUAUUUUGAAUGCAGUUUGUCUCCGAAUAUUGGUUUCUUAUCUGAGAGUUCAAUUAGGACAAACAUUGCAAAACAUAGACUACAGGGCUAAUUAUGAGAACAUCUUACAAUCUACUUUGCCACUGGCAUUAGUCUAAUAAAGAUAAAAAGAUUUAACAGUUUCUGUUAGCUUAAUAAAAUAAUCUUGCAUUGUUUUACCCUUAGCGAUAAAUGUCACCAAAAUUACUAGGUAGAAAAUUGUUUAUUGCUUUACAUUUAUGUUAUCAUAAUUAUUAUUUUCCAAUUGUAUUGUGUUGAUCUAAAACAUAGAGAUAUUAUGUGUUUUAGCCAAAAAUAAGAGAUUCAAUUGCCUCAUCCACAAAAUUAAAGAUGAAUAAUGAUAUAAAGAACAACAGAAAGAAAGAUAUGCUUGCAUGAACACUAUAUCUGAUUUAAUUUCUCUUGAAUAUUCACAUUUAAUCUGAUAGAAUUCUCAAUGUGCCUUUUUAGGAAUUUUAGUAUGUCCCUAUCAUUUUGUUCCUCAAAAUGACAAUAAACCUUUCCAACGUAGUUGAACUCUUGACCAUACAAAUGGGAUGCGCAAGCUACUUUGUAAGUUAAAAGCUCCGAGAACCCUGUUCCAAACAAGGAGAACAAAAAUUUAUUUAACCAAUCUCGCCAAGAAAAAGAUCAUGAAGUACGUGGAGUAGUUCGCCAGAUGUGUGCUAAAAUAUGAAAGAUGCAACAUAGCAUAUGACUAGGUGAUGCUUGAUGAUGAUUGAAACAAUAAAUUUAUUCAGGUUAAAUAACCAUUCUUCAAAACUAGCAAGCCAAAAGAAUCAUGCAAAUGUUAGCAAUCAAAAGGACAAUAAACUAUAAUGUAAGCAGGCUCAACCAACAUGGGGGUCUAACUCCUGUGAGAACUGAGAUAGAUAGUAAAGGAAUUAAGUAAAACGGUGCAGAGGGAAAGGAUUAGACAGUUCCGUAAUAGGAAAUAGAAACAAACCUGAAGCCAUUUCUGAUGCAAGCAUCUUCAUGGCAAAGUGACGUUUUAACCAGCAUUUGCAGCAUAACCUCCAAACUUUUCUUGAUUUUCCCUCAGUAAAAAUUUUGGCAUCUUAUUGUAGUUAACAGAGAGCUUUGGAAUUUGUUCACCUUCAUUCCUAUUGAGACAUACUGACAAUCGAUCCUCUUCAUGCUGAUAUAGUUUGAGGAAGCAUGAAGCAAACACCCUCCAUGUAUUGGACUCUAGAUUGGUAGCUUCCAAAUGCAAAGCAAUCAUCUCCACAAGGUAUUCCAGACUAUAGUCCCUUAAAAAGAAUAUCAAAAUCACAAUUAUAUAUGCAAAAACUUCUAUGAUUAAGAGAGAGAGAGAGAUUGUCAAAACCCAAGUUCAAAUAUUGCAAAAGCAAACAAAAAGAGGGGAGGGACCUUGGUGGUGGCUGUGUCACAACUAGGUGAUAGAAUCACUGCAUUGAAACGACUGUCAAAUGAAGUGGGUACUGGUCUAUCUAUGCAAGAUAAUUGAUAAUAUACCAUUUUGUUGCAUGCUGACAAGCCUUGCCAAUGAGUGGCAGCAUGUUGGAUCCUUCUUCAAAGUCUCCUCAAAACAUGUAGAGAGCAUGACAGAAUCAUUAGAAUAAAAACACUCUAAAAGACUAGCCCUUAUUCUGCAAAGGACCAACACAUCAGUGUUUUGUAAAGGCAACAAGAGGACCAGCUGAAAAAAUUAACAUACUGCAAGAAUAAUUAAAUCUUUUAUAUAAUAUUUGGAAGGUGCUCCUGAAAGUAAAGAUUCCAUGGGAGAUAGUAGAAAAUAAUUAAAAUAUCAAGCCCAUUCUACUAAAGGAAAACUUCUAAGCGAAGAGGGAGCUUUAGCCUCGGAUACACCCAAAGGAGAUUUCUGCACAAGAUAUAUUUGUCAAGACAGAAGAAAAAGGAAAGUAAUGUCAACAAAAACUAUCUACCUUAUCACAAAAAUCUAUGCAAAGGCAACAGUACCAUAAUGUCCCUUGGAACAACUAGUACUAACACAUUCAGAUAUAAUAUUUUCCCAAAAAGAUUAUCACCAGACAUAACUGCCACAACAAAUACCAUAGUUGUAAUCAUUAGUUGAGUCCUCUAGCACUUAUCUUCAUAUUCCUUUUUCUGUUAUUCUCAAGUUAUCUAAGUUAAGACAAAAUGAAAUAAAGUACCUUUGGGAUUAUAUUUUCCAAUAUGAAUUCACUUCUUGGCAACCAUGGAAAAAGGGGGGGAACAAAAUUAUUUGGUAGGUCGAUACCUAAAUGGAAAGGGCACUCUUGAAUUGUUACAGAACUUUUUCGACUUCACUUAGGGCCUGAUUCACUUGACCUCCAAUCAGCAACAACUGGCAUAAAACAAACGAAAAGAGAAAAAAAAUAAUGUUUGAAUCAGUAAGAAAGAAUAACUUUUGUAAGUAAUUAAAUUCUCUAUCAUACUAUUAUAUAGUGUUGAGAAACUAGUGAUUCCAGAUGGUGCUGCAGGAGAAGAUGAAAUUGAGCACAAUGUCAACUAUACGUUGAAGGAAGGAAGAACCUAGAAAAAGUAUUACUUUAGCUAUUGAGUUAGUGUUUAAUAAAACUCUUCAAAUAGUGUCGUUUUGAGUCUUAGUUGUGGGUAUGCUAAAAACGUUUUUUCUGGUGUCGUUUUUUGCUAUUUGUAAGGCUAAAAGCCAUGUUUUAUUUUUGCUGGUUGUUCAUUUUUCCUCUUAGCUGUCGAAGGUUGUUGCAAUGCACAAAAUCCAAGGCUGGAUUCUUGUGCUUAGCUGGUUUUUCAUGUUUUUCAUUUUAUUUCCCGAUUUUCUUGGCUUAGUCUGUUACUACCCAUACAGAUAUUAUUGAGAAUGAAAGUGGCUGUAGAGUUCUUUUCUCCCACCAUUGGGUUUUUCAAUUUCUUCUUUAUUCCUAAAAUCAUUUUAGCUUCUCUGUUCUCCAGCUAAAAUUCAUCAGAAAUUUUACAUGGUAUCAGAGCUCUUAAGGGUCUUAAGGGGUUGUUUUCUCUGAUUUUUUUCCUCUCUUAUUUGAUUUCCAACUUAGCUGUUUAGUUCAUGGUUCAUGGCUACCUCCGGUUUUAGCACCACUGUUUCUCCAGUGCUUACUGGAGAAAAUUAUGUUUUUUGGUCUGUGAAGAUGCAAUCUUACCUGCGAGCUUUCCCUCUUUGGGAGGUGGUAGAGAUUGGAGAAGAUCCUGUUCAAAGGCAUGCUAACCCAACAUUGGCUCAAAUAAGGCAGUUUGAGGAAGACAAGGCAAAAAGGUAUAAGGUCCUGUCCUGUUUACAUUUUGCUGUCUCUGAUGAUAUUUUUAGUAGAAUCAUGCAUCUAAAUAGUUCUAAAGAGGUCUGGGAUCAGUUGAAAGAGGAAUUUCACGGUAGUGAUAGAACUAGAAGGAUUCAAGCUCUUAAUUUAUCUAGGCAGUUUGAAAUGUUGACUAUGGAUGAUACUGAGACCAUUAAAAGUUCUCUGGUAAAAUGAUGGGUGUUGUUAAUCAACUAAGGCUGCUUGGUAAAGAGAUGGAUGAGGAAAGACUUAUUAGCAAGAUGCUGGUUAGUCUGUCUAAGAGAUAUGAGUCAAAAAUCUCCUCACUGGAGGAUUCUAGAGAUCUUAGUCAAAUAACUUUAAAAGAGCUGGUGAAUACAUUAGAAGGUUUGGAGCAGAGGAGAGCUUUUAGGCAAAAGGGCAUCACUGAAAGUGCCUUGGUUGCAAAUUCAAAGAAUGUGAAGCCUAGUAAUGGUAGUGCUAAGAGAAAUGAAGUAGGAAAAAGGGAUAAGAGUAAGAAGUCUGAUGAGAAGGGACAUAGGGAACAAAAGAAAAAGUUUCCACCGUGCUCUCAUUAUAAAAAAACAAACCAUACAGAGAAGUUUUGCUGGUUCAGACCAAAUGUCAAAUGCAAGAGGUGUCAACAGCAAGGACAUGUGGAGAAGGUUUGCAAAAGUAAAGAUAAAAACUGGUGAUGAGAAAGUUGUUGUAGUUGAAGAACUUCAAGCUGAUGAAGAGAUACUUUUCAUGGUGAAACAUGUGGACAGUGAAGAAAGAAAAGAUGUGUGGCUGCUUGAUAGUGGCUGCUCCAAUCAUCUCACUGGAUGCAAGGACAAUUUUGUUGAUUUGGACUCUAGCUUCAGGACAAGAAUGGAGGUUGGAAAUGGAGAAUUUCUACUGAUUUUUGGAGUGGGAACUAUAGGUGUCCAGACUCCUACAGGUAGAAAAUUGAUAAAUUGUGUUUACUUUGCUACGGAUGUUAGCCAAAACUUGUUGAGUGUAGGGCAAUUAGUUGAUGACAACUAUAUGCUUGUUUUCAAAGAUAGGACCUGCACUGUUAGUGAUCCUGCUGGUAAAGAGUUGUUUACAGUAGGCAUGAGAAAUAGAUGCUUUCCUGUGAAUUGGAUGAAACUUAAACAGACUGCUUAUAAGGCUAUUUUUGUGGACACUGACCUUUGGCAUAGGAGGUAUGGUCAUAUCAAUCAUACUUACUUGAAGCAAAUGGCUGUGCAUAAUCUUGUUGAUGGACUUCCUAGAAUUGGUGAACCUGAUAGAGUUUGUAGAAUCUGUCAAUUUGGAAAUCAAAAGAGAGCUGCAUUUCCUAAAACCAGAACCUAGAAAGCAACUCGAAAAUUGGAGUUGGUGCAUCCUGAUAUAGGAGGUCCAAUGAAGAUUGAGUCUUUAAAUGGGAGCAGAUUUUAUUUGCUGUUCAUUAAUGAUGUGACAAAAUUCAGUUGGAUUUAUUUCCUAAAAAGAAAAUCUGAAGCUUCUGGUGUUUUUCCUGAGUUUAAAACUCUAGUGGAGAAUCAGGCAAGCCAAACCAUUAAGAAGGUCAGAAGUGACAAUGGCACUGAAUUCACUGCAACAAAAUUUGAGCUGUAUCUCAGUCAGUUUGGCAUAGUGCAUCAGCUCACAGUGACAUAUAGUCCUCAACAAAAUGGAACUUCUGAGAGGAAAAACAGAACAAUUAUGGAGAUGGCUAGAUGUUUGUUAUUUGAAAUGAGCCUACCAAAGUACCUAUGGGCAGAAGCAGCUAAUACUGCAAACUAUCUUCUUAAUAUUGCUCAGACCAGAGCUCUCCCAAAUAAGACUCCAUAUGAAGCUUGGUUUGAUGUCAAGCCUGCUAUUAAUCAUCUUAGAGUGUUUGGCUGCAUUUGCUAUUCUAAAGUUCCUGAUGCUAAAAGAGGAAAACUAGAUGAAAAGUCUCUUGUAGCAGUCCAUCUUGGUUAUAGCCAAGUAUCCAAAGGUUACAGGGUGCUUGAUGUUAAGACAAGAAAGGUAUUUGUUAGCAGGGAUGUGAAGUUUGAUGAGGCAGCAAAGUGGAACUGGGAGACACAAAGGAUUGAAAGUAGCUGGGUUAGAGGUAAUGCUGAUGAUGUUCUGGAUGAUUAUGAAGCAGUAAAUGAAGAUGAUGAGAACAUUGAUGAGGUUUCUGUCAGAGGAACAAGAUCACUUCAAGACAUAUAUAACAGAUGUCAUGUAGCCAUCACUGAGCCAAGCUCUUUUAUGGAAGCUGUUGUAGAUGUGAACUGGAAGCAAGCAAUGGAUGUUGAUAUGGCGAUGAUCAAGAAGAAUAACACCUGGGUUUUGGUUGACAGAUUAGAGAACUAGAAGGUUAUUGGUGUUAAGUGGGUUUAUAGGACUAAGCUAAACUCUGAUGGUACAAUUAACAAGCACAAAGCCAAAUUAAUAGUUAAAGGCUUCUCACAAGUCCAUGGAGUUGAUUUCUUUGAAACCUUUGCACUAGUAGCCAGACAUGAUACUAUAAGGCUACUAGUUGCACUUGCUACAAAUGAAGGGUGGUUAAUCUAGCACCUAGACAUCAAGUCAGCAUUUUUGAAUGGUACUACUGGAGAAGAGAUCUUUGUUGAGCAGUUUGAAGGCUAUGUUUAACCUGGCAUGGAGAACAAAGUCUGCAAAUUGGUCAAAGCCCUUUAUGGACUCAAACAGGCUCCAAGGGCAUGGUAUGAGAGAAUGGAUGCCUACUUACAAAGCCUGGAGUUUACCAGAAGCAGCAGUGAGCAUACACUGUAUGUGAAGGGAACAGGUAAUAAGAUUCAACUUAUUAUUUCUCUUUAUGUGGAUGAUAUGCUUAUCACAAGUCCUAGUGGUAAGUUUGUGGAUGAUUUUAAGGCCAAAAUGCAAACUGAAUUUGAAAUGAGUGAUUUGGGAAGGAUGUCUUACUUUCUUGGUAUGGAGAUUGAUCAAGGCUCUGAUUUCAUUCUACUGCAUCAGAGGAAAUAUGCCUCUGAUUUGUUGAAAAGGUUUAAAAUGGAAAAAUGUAAAGCAGUAGCAACCCCUUUGGCUGUUGGUACUAAACUGUGCAAGGAUGAUGGUGGAGCUGAAAAUAAUGAAACUUAUUAUAGAAGGUUGAUAGGGAGCUUAUUGUAUUUAUCUUCCACAAGGCCAGAUAUCAUGUAUGCUACCAGCUUGCUUUCUAGGUUCAUGCACAAGCCCUCUGAAGUUCAUUUGUGUGCUGUUAAAAGAAUUAUCAGGUAUGUGAAAGGAACCUUACGUUUUGGCUUGAAAUUCUUUAAGAAUGGAAAUCAGAAGCUUCAAGGCUUUUGUGACAGUGAUUGGGGUGGAAGUUUGGAGGACUCAAAAAGGAUUUCUGGGUACUGUUUCUCUCUUGGCAGUGCUGUUUUUUCUUAAAACUCCAAGAAACAAGAUAUAGUGGCACAGUCUUCUGCUGAAACAAAGUAUGUUGCAGCAGCCUCAGCUGCAAACCAGACUAUUUGGCUGAGGAAGAUUCUUCAAGAUUUAAUGUUUAGCUGUGAACUACAAACAACUCUUUGGAUAGACAGUAAGUCUGCAAUCUCAAUGGCUAAAAACCCAGUUGAUCAUGGCAGAACUAAGCACAUAAGGAUCAAGUUUCAUGCCAUUAGAGAAGCUGUCAAAAAUGGUGAAGUAGCGGUAGAAUAUUGUCCUACAAAGGAGCAGUUGGUAGAUAUUUUCACUAAGGGAUUGAGUACUGAUCAGUUCAAGUUUUUAAGAGACAAACUUGGAGUUUGUUCAUCUGGAAUCAAGGAGGUGUGUUGAGAAACUAGUGAUUCUAGAUGGUGCUGCAGAAGAAGAUGAAAUUGAGCACUAAGUCAACUAUAUGUUGAAGGAAGGAAGAAUCUAGAAAAAGUAUUACUUUAGCUAUUGAGUUAGUGUUUAAUAAAACUCUUCAAAUAGUAUCGUUUUGAGUCUUAGUUAUGGGUCUGCUGAAAACGUUUUUACUGGUGUCGUUUUUGGCUGUUUGUAAGGCUAAAAGCCAUGUUUUAUUUUUGCUGGUUGUUCAUUUUUCCUCUUAUCUGUUGAAGGUUGUUGCAAUGCACAAAAAUCCAAGUCUCGAUUCUUGUGCUUAGCUGGUUUUUCAUGUUUUUCAUUUUAUUCCCCAAUUUUAUUGGCUUAGUCUGUUACUACCCAUAUAGAUAUUCUUGAAAAUGAAAAUGGCUGUAGGGUUCUUCUCUCCCACCAUUGGGUUUUUCAAUUUCGUCUUUGUUCCCAAAAUCAUUUUAGCUCCUCUGUUCUCCAGCUAAAAAUUCAUCAGAAAUUUUACAUACAGAUAUAGAUCCCUUUUUGUGUUUUGACUAAUGUAUACCUAAAUCUCUAUAAGAAUAUUAAAAGAUGCUCCAGCUUACCANUUAGAAGGAGAAUGACCAACAGCUUAUAAUUUUGUCUUAGGCUUGGGCACUGUGGAAGAAAGAAAAGCCAUUAGAACUGAUUGAUUCGUUUUUACAAGAGUCAUACUCUCUGUCGGAAGUGGUGAGGUGCAUCCACAUUGCUCUCUUAUGUGUGCAACAACGUCCUGAUGAUCGACCCAGCAUGUCAUCCGUGGUUCUUAUGCUGGGUAGUGAGACUGCCCUGGUAGAACCCAAGGAACCCAGUUUCCUGAUGGACGAUAAGUCACUAGAAACAGAUUCUUCUUCAAGCAAUAUUAAAUUGUCAAAUAAUGAUGUUACUAUCUCAAUUUUGGAUGGUCGAUAGAGAAAUAUUUAGCUAUAGGUCUUACUCUGUCAUUGUCUUAGCAAAUGUUUGCUCAUCAUGCAGUUUGUACAUUACAUUUUUACAUCCAUGUGUGCGAUAUGUAAGGAUUGGUAGUUCUGUUUCUCACGUUAAAUUCAGAAGACAGAUCUUGUAGAAAGAUUCCUGAAGAAAAUUUCUGUAUUUUGAAUGUAGUUUGUCUCCGAAUAUUGGUUUCUUAUCUGAGAAUUCAAUUAGGACAAACAUUGCAAAACAUAGACCACAAGGCUAAUUAUGAGAACAUCUUACAAUCUACUCUGCCGCUGGCAUUAGUCUAAUAAAGGGAAAAAGGUUUAACAGUUUCUGUUAGCUUAAUAAAAUAAUCUUGCAUUGUUUUACCCUUAGCGAUAAAUGUCACCAAAAUUACUGGGUAGAAAACUGUUUAUUGCUUUACAUUUAUGUUAUCAUAAUUAUUAUCUUCCAAUUGUAUUGUGUUGAUUUAAAACAUAGAGAUAUGAUGUGUUUUAGCCAAAAAUGAGAGAUUCAAUUGCCUCAUCCAUAAAAUUAAAGAUGAAUAAUGAUAUAAAGAACAACAGAAAGAAAGAUAUGCUUGCAUGAAACUAUAUCUUAUUUAAUUUCUCUUGAAUAUUCGCAUUUAAUCUGAUAGAAUUCUCAAUGUGCCUUUUUAGGAAUUUUAGUAGUUCCCUAUCAUUUUGUUCCUCUAAAUGAGAAUAAACCUUUACAACGUAGUCGAACUUUUGACCAUACAAAUGGGAUGCGCAAGCUGCUUUGUAAGUUAAAAGCUCCGAGAACCCUGUUCCAAACAAGGAGAACAAAAAUUUAUUUAACCAAUCUCGCCAAGAAAAGGAUCAUGAAGCAUGUGGAGUAGUUCGCCAGAUGUGUGCUAAAAUACGAAAGAUGCAACAUAGCAGAUGACUAGGUGAUGCUUGAUGAUGAUUGAAACAAUAAAUUUAUUCAGGUUAAAUAACCAUUCUUCAAAACUAGCAAGCACAAAGAAUCAUGCAAAUGUUAGCAAUCAAAAGGACAAUAAACUAUAAUAUAAGCAGGCUCAGCCAACAUGGGGGUCUAACUCCUGUGAGAACUGAGAUAGAUAGUAAAGGAGUUAAGUAAAACGGUGCAGAGGGAAAGGGUUAGACAGUUCCGUAAUAGGAAACAGUAACAAACCUGAAGCAAUUUCUGAUGCAAGCAUCUCCUCGGCAAAGUGACGUUUUAACCAGCAUUUGCAGCGUGACCUCCAAACUUUUCUUGAUUUUCUCUCAGUAAAAAAUUUUGGCAUCUUAUUGUAGUUAACAGAGAGCUUUGGAAUUUGUUCAUCUUCAUUCCCAUUGAGACAUACUGACAAUCGAUCCUCUUCAUGCUGAUAUAGUUUGAGGAAGCAUGAAGUAAACUCCCUCCAUGUAUUGGACUCCGGAUUGGUAGCUUCCAAAUGCAAAGCAAUCAUCUCCACAAGGGAUUCCAGACUAUAGUCCCCUGAAAAGAAUAUCAAAAUCACAGUUGUAUAUGCAAAAACUUCUAUGAUUAAGAGAGAAAGAGAGAGAACGAGAGAGAGAUUGUCAAAAGCCAAGUUCAAAUAUUGCAAAAGCAGACAAAAAGAGGGAGGGGACCUCGGUGGUGGCUAUGUGUCACAACUAGGUGAUAGAAUCACUGCAUUGAAAUAACUGUAAAAUGAAGUGAGUACUGGUCUAUCUAUGCAAGGUAAUUGAUAAUAUACCAUUUUGAUGCAUGCUGACAAGUCUUGCCAAUGAGUGGCAGCAUGUUGGAUCCUUCUUCAAAGUCUCCGCAAAACAUGUAGAGAGCAUGACAGAAUCAUUAGAAUAAGAACACUCUAAAACACUGGCCCUUAAUCUGCAAAGGAUCAACACAUCAGUGUUUUGUAAAGGCAACAAGAGGACCAGCUGAAAAAAUUAGCAUACUGCAAGAAUAAUCAAAUCUUCUCCAUAAUAUUUAGAAAGUGCUCCUGAAAGUAAAGAUUCCAUGGGAGAGAGUAGAAAAUAAUUAAAAUAUCAAGCCCAUUCUACCAAAGGAAAACUUCUAAGCAAAGAGGGAGCUUUAGCCUCGGAUACAUCCAAGGGAGAUUUCUGCACAAGAUAUAUUUGUCAAGACAGAAGAAAAGGGAAAGUAACGUCAACAAAAACUACAUGCCUUAUCACAAAAAUCUCUGCAAAGGCAACAGUACCAUAAUGUCCCUUGGAACAACUAGUACUAACACAGUCAGAUAUAAUAUUUUCCCCAAAAGAUUAUCACCAGACAUAACUGCCACAAGAAAUACCAGAGUUGUAAUCAUUAGUUGAGUCCUCUAGCACUUAUCUUCAUAUUCCUUUUUCUGUUAUUCUCAAGUUGUCUGAGUUAAGCCAAAAUGAAAUAAAGUACCUUUGGGAUUAUAUUUUCCAAUAUGAAUUCACUUCUUGGCAACCAUGGAAAAAAAGGGAAGGGGGAACAAAAUUAUUUGGUAGGUCGAUACCUAAAUGGAAAGGGCACUCUUGAAUUGUUACAGAACUUUUCGACUUCACUUAGGGCCUCAUUCACUUGACCUCCAAUCAGCAACAACUGGCAUAAAACAGACAAAAAGAGGAAAAAAAAAUAAUGUUUGAAUCAGUAAGAAAGAAUAACAUUUAAAAGUAAAUAAAUUCUGUAUCAUACUAUUAUAUAGAUAUAGAUCCCUUUUUUGUGUUUUGACUAAUGUAUAUCUAAAUCUCUAUAAGAAUAUUAAAAGAUGCUCCAGCUUAGCAUUUAAGAUGUUCAAAAUACAAAAAAAAGAAAAAUUGUAAGGGAAACAUAAUUAUACCUGCACUAAAGGAUGUAAUGCUGCUAACAAAUGGGGUGUAGAGUGAAGUGCAAGCUGUAGGCACUUCACAGCAUCAUUAUAAUGAUUAUUAAGUAUUUGCCUAUGCAAAUAAACAAAGUUCUCUCUAGAAUGUGGCAACUUUAAUGGCAUCAACCAUGACUCUAGACUCUCUGAAAUAAGAAAGAUGACAAAUUUCAGUAGUCCGUAGGCUUAGAUAUGAUCAUGAAACAAUUAAUAAUUAUCAAAGCCAAAAAGCCUCUAACAGAUACCAUUGUAGAAAAUCAUAACAAUGCAUCCAAACCAUUAUUCAUGCAAAGAUAUUCUUCAUCCGGUCAAGUAAUUAAGCCACUUGACAUUCGACAUAUAUACAAAUAAAUUCAGGGUGUCUAUUUAAGAAUUUUAAGCAUACUUCCACCAGGUAGGAUGAAUAUACAACAGAGUAACAUAUAAAGUAUGACAACAGAAGGGAUGAGGAAGAUAAGAAGGUUAUCUCCUAUACUUAAGCAAAAGAACAUUUUACUAUCUUUGAUGCAUAUCUGUGUAUCUGAUAUUGGUAUUUACUGGAUCUUUAUUUGUUUGAGUCCUAGCAUCAAGUCUUUCUUUCCAAUUUUUCCCCUUUAUUUCUGGAUCUCUAGCAUAUUUCCCAUUUAGUCAACAAUUGAAUGAGUUCUCACGUACUAACACAAAGAAAAACGGAAAUAAUAAUCUGCUAAGCAGCACUGAAGACUUUUAAUUAUCCAAAAUAUACCUUGGAUGUGCAUGCAUAGGCAACAUCAUGCUCAAUAUAUCACUCCAAAGUCAAAAGAAGAAUACCAAAAGUAAAACUUGGUAUUAUCAUGACAGAUAAAAAAACAUAUAGGGCAUUCGGAGCUCACCAAGGGCAGAGAAAACUGAAGGAUCACAUGUGUAGCCACUAUCAUCGUAUAAACCAGCUUCAUUUUCAGAGGAGUUCUGGUAGGAGGCCAGUGGCUGAACCUCUUCUUGGAGAUUUGCAAGUGGCAAAUUAACAUCAUUCUGCACAGGAACUUCACUGUGUAGCUUGCUAUUAGCCACCGGAGUUAUUCUUUUAUCAUUCAUGACAGAUGUCUCUGAAUCAUAUUGAGAAGUAACAGCAUCAUGAGUAUAAGCCGCAUUAUUUCCCUCAGAGUUAACAAUUUGGUUGCUGAAUUUUGAUCCUCAAGAGUCUGAUUGCAGCUGAGGGGUGUAAUCCUGGUUUGAAUCUCUCAGCUUAUCCUUGUCGGUGAGAUCAGAAUACCAAAGCUGACAGAAUGUCAAGCCCGUGACCAAAUUUGGCAUUGAGUGACUACUAGGGUGACGUUCUUUCAUCAAGCUGAGAGGGAGAAAGCUCAUAAAAGUCACUCAAACUCAAAAAAGCUCAUAAAGCUCAUAAUAUAGUAUUAAAUUAUAAUUAAUAAUGAUGAAUAUAAUAAAAUACGUUAUAAUUUCAUGCAUUUUUCACCUGCACGUGAUCGAUAAACAGGGUUUUUUAUUCUAUCAUCAUGGUUGUAUUGAUAAAUGGAAAGGUACAGGCAUAUCUACUCAACCAAUAUGAUACAGGCUUUCAGCUUUGGCUAGCCAUAAGAUAGAAUGUCAAGAACUGAGAAGACACUUUGAAAGAUGAAAGUCCUGGGAGUGUAUUUCCUGGCCUGGGUCGUGUUCGUUGACUACCUUUAAUUAGUUCUAGCUGCCAACGGUCCCUGGCCAACUGCAUUUAACUAUGUGACGAACAAAAUGUUUUUCCUGUUCCAGAAUAAAUUCUGUAGUCAAACCUCGCAAACUCAAACUUCAAGUACUGGUAUCCAUAUAUUUCAGCUCAUUACUUCGAAGAAGCUCCAGAUUGGUCAGCUACAAGAAGAGUAGAAAAGACUGGCAGCGCGGUCUCCCCAACUUGCAAGUAGGGGUCAACAAUCAGUGGAUUCAAUUGAUUCAGUUUGUUAUAAUUAAUAAUUAAAUGAAUUAAAUAUUUUUAAAAAAUAGAUGAGAAUUGAUCCAAUCUAAAAAAAAAAUCGAAUUAGUCAAAUAUCGAAUUGAAAAUUAAAAAAUUAAAAAAUAAUUAUAAAAUAUAAAAUAAAAAUUAAUAAUAUAAAUAUAAAUUUUAUAUUAAUUUAAAAAUAAUAUAUAUAAUAUUAUAAUAUAUUAAUAUAUAUAUAUAUAAUUAAUUUGAUGUUUUUAUCGAUUCAGUUUAAAAAUUUUAAAAUUAAUAAUCAAUCAAAUAAAUAAAUUGGAUCAAACUUUUUAAAUUAAUAAAUUUAAUGAACUAAUUAGACCGAAUAGUUUUAUUUAAAUCACAUUUGAAUCAAUUCUCUUGAUCCAGUACAAUUUUGCUCACACCCUACUUGCAUGCACCUCCAUGCAAGUGAACUGUUAUGAGCUUUGAGAUUCUUUUCUUUUAUAAUGCUUCAAUGUGAAAAGCUCUAGCAGUGAGUUGUGAAAGCUUGGGAAGCGAUGGACAUUUUAUCUUUCAUUUCGAUCAAAAUUACGUUGCUCAGUUUCUUCACCAGAUUCUCUGUUGGAAUCGAUAGCUUUACCUCCUCAGAGUCUUUAAGUGAUGGCAGGACCUUGGUUUCCAGAGAUGGAACCUUUGAACUGGGUUUCUUCAGACCUGGAAGCUCCAUGAAUCGUUACUUGGGAAUAUGGUACAAGAAAAUCCCUGUCCGAACUGUUGUUUGGGUUGCAAACCGGCGCAACCCAAUCAAUGACUCAUAUGGUAUGCUGUUGUUCAACAGCAAAGGCAAUCUUAUGCUGUUCAGUCGAAGCAACGGUGUUGUUUGGUCCACAAACUCAACAAAGAUAGCUCGAAAGCCAAUAGUACAGCUCUUGGAUUCUGGAAAUCUUGUCAUAAGAGAUGAAAGUGGUAAUGGUAAUUCAGAAAGAACUCUUUCGUGGCAAAGCUUUGACUAUCCAACUGAUACUAUUCUACCAGGGAUGAAGUUGGGAUGGGACUUGAGAACUGGUCUUGAUCGCCGUUUGACAGCAUGGAAGAGCUCUGAUGAUCCAUCUCCUGGAGACUUCACUGUUGGCGUCGAGCUAUAUAAGUACCCUGAUGUUGUUUCAUGGAAGGGUACAAAGAAAUACAUUCGGACAGGCCCCUGGAAUGGCCUCGGAUACAGUGGUACACCCUUGUUAAAGCCUAGUCCUGGUUUUCAGUUCCAAUUUGUAUGGAAUAAUGACGAGGUGUACUCCACAUUUUACCUCGGCAAUCAAUCAGCUAUCAUGAGGUAUGUUUUGAACCAAACCAUCUAUCAGGGCCAGGGCUACUCUUGGAUUGAAGGAAGUAGAAGUUGGAUGCUUUCUACUUAUCCACCGGCGGAUGUCUGUGACAACUUUGGACUCUGUGGUGUAUAUGGGGUUUGUGACAGAACUGAACCGCUACCUUGUCAAUGUUUGAAAGGAUUCAAGCCUAAAGCUUCACGGUAUUGGGACUCCAACUGGCUUCAAGGAUGUGUGCGCAAUAAGCCAUUAGACUGCCAGAAGGGAGAUGCAUUUAUCAAAUUUGGUCGAUUGAAACUGCCAGAUACAGAACAUUCUUGGGUAGACAAAAGCAUAGGUCUCAAAGAAUGCAGGGCUAAAUGUUUACAGAACUGUUCUUGUAUGGCCUACACAAACACAGAUAUAAGAGGACAAGGAAGUGGUUGUGCCAUUUGGUUUGGAGAUCUGAUUGAUAUCAAACAGUUUCAAGAUGGUGGGCAAGAACUAUACAUUCGAAUGUCUACUUCUGAAGCAGGUACAUGAGCUAAUUACUUUUGAUUGUGAUAACUAUCAAGUAUUUCCUUGAAGUUAUAUUCCCAAAUAUUAAACCAGUUAACGCUGCCGCAUUUGUGCAUCAAUUCUCAGCUCUAAUUUAACUAACUUCUUUCUAUUUCAUUGUUGGAUUUAUUGAAUUGUCCUCGUCCAUGAAGAGCCAAAAGGUGAGAUUAAAAUGAAGCUAGCUGUCAUACCUCCAACCGUCAUUUUCUUAGUUGUUGGUGUGCUUUUAGUCAGCUAUUACUUUCACAGAAGCCGUACAAGAAUGCAAGGUAAAGCCAUCUGCCUUCAGAAAUCUUAUUUCAACAAUGCUUUAGAGAAACUUCAGAAAUGUAAAGAGUGCUAGAAACUUCCCCUGAUUCUUUUGAGAAAAGAUCCAAAAGAACUCAAACACAAUCAUUUGAUGGCUGUGAGAGGAAUUUUGUGGUUUUCUUCAGAAAUAUGUUGGACCAAAACCAACAAAGUAGUCAUAACCCAACAUUCUAUGGCUAAUGUUAGCACGUUUGGCAACUGUUUCAGGGGAAAAUGAAAAUCAUGGUGUAAAUAACAGGAGCAAUGCAGGGCAAAAGGAAGAUAGAGAACUUGAAUUAUUCGACCUAGCUGUGUUAGCUAAAGCCACCAAUGGCUUCUCAUCUGACAACAAGCUGGGAGAAGGUGGUUUUGGGCCUGUUUACAAGGUAAAUUUGCACUGUUCUGCUUAAAUGAAUGUUAGACGAAAACAUUCUUAUAUAGUACAUUAUUUUCAGGGUACUAUGGAAGAUGGACAACAAAUUGCUGUGAAGAGGCUCUCAAUCCGCUCAAGACAAGGAUCAGAUGAGUUCAAAAAUGAAGUAGCACUGAUCGCCAAACUUCAACAUCGGAAUCUUGUAAAGCUUCUUGGAUGCUGCAUCCAAGGGGAGGAGAAAAUGCUGGUGUAUGAAUUUAUGCCGAACAAAAGUCUGAAUUUCUUCAUUUUCGGUAAUGGAUCCCUCAAAAAACCUGAAAAAUUUAUGUAGGCUAGUGCAUAUAUAUAACAAAUGGAGACUGAAUUUCAAUAUAAUACAUGCAUGUCAGACAGAGCAAGGCAUGAGCUACUAGACUGGCCAAAGCGUUUUCAUAUUAUCAAUGGAGUUGCUCGGGGGCUUGUCUAUCUCCAUCAAGAUUCCAGAUUGAGGAUCAUACACAGAGAUCUUAAAACUAGUAAUAUUCUUCUUGAUAGUGAGAUGAAUCCAAAAAUUUCAGACUUCGGCUUGGCUAAAACUUUUGGAGGAGACCAGACAGAGGGGAAUACAAAUAGAGUGGUUGGAACUUAGUAAGUGGUUAACAACACAUUCAUGAAUUUAACUGUAAUCAUCACUAAUGUUGCUUUCUUCUGCUGAUUUUCUACAGUGGUUAUAUGGCACCAGAAUACGCUAUCGCUGGGCAAUUCUCAAUAAAAUCAGACGUUUUCAGCUUCGGGAUAGUGGUGCUGGAGAUUAUAAGUGGCAAGAAAAAUAAAGGGUUUUACAAUCCAAGCCAUGACCUCAACCUGAUUGGACAUGUAAGCAUGAAACUUACUUGUUAAAUGUUGAUGUACUUUGAGAAGGAGAAUGACCAACAGCUUAUAAUUUUGUCUUAGGCUUGGGCACUGUGGAAGAAAGAAAAGCCAUUAGAACUGAUUGAUUCGUUUUUCCAAGAGCCAUGCUCUCUGUCGGAAGUGGUGAGGUGCAUCCACAUUGCUCUCUUAUGUGUGCAACAACAUCCUGAUGAUAGACCUAGCAUGUCAUCUGUGGUUCUUAUGCUGGGUAGUGAGACUACCCUGGUAGAACCCAAGGAACCCAGUUUCCUGAUGGACAAUAAGUCACUAGAAACAGAUUCUUCUUCAAGCAAUAUUAAAUUGUCAAAUAAUGAUGUUACUAUCUCAAUUUUGGAUGGUCGAUAGAGAAAUAUUUAGCUAUAUGUCUUACUUUGUCAUUGUCUUAGCAAAUGUUUGCUCAUCAUGGAAUUUGUACAUUGCAUUUCUACAUCCAUGUGUGCGAUAUGUAAGGAUUGGUUGUUCUGUUUCUCAUGUUAAAUUCAGAAGACAGAUCUUGUAAAAAGAUUCCUGAAGAAAAUUUCUAUAUUUUGAAUAUAGUGUCUCAGAAUAUUAGCUUCUUAUCUGAGAAUUCAAUUAGGACAAACAUUACAAAACAUAGGCUACAGGGCUAAUUAUGAGAACAUCUUACAAUCUACCCUGCCGCUGACAUUAGUCUAAUAAAGAUAACAAGAUUUAACAGUUUCUGUUAGCUUAAUAAAAUAAUCUUGCAUUGUUUUACGCUUAGUGAUAAAUGUCACCAAAAUUUCUAGGUAGAAAACUAUUUAUUGCUUUACAUUUAUGUUAUCAUAAUUAUUAUCUUCCAAUUGUAUUGUGUUGAUCUAAAGCAUAGAGAUAUGAUGUGUUUUAGCCAAAAAUGAGAGAUUCAAUUGCCUCAUCCAUAAAAUUAAAGAUGAAUAAUGAUAUAAAGAACAACAGAAAGAAAGAUAUGCUUGCAUGAAAACUAUAUCUUAUUUAAUUUCUCUUGGAUAUUCACAUUUAAUCUGAUAGAAUUCUCAAUGUGCCUUUUUAGGAAUUUUAGUAGUUCCCUAUCAUUUUGUUCCGCUAAAUGAGAAUAAACCUUUACAACGUAGUCGAACUCCUGACCAUACAAAUGGGAUGCGCAAGCUGCUUUGUAAGUUAAAAGCUCCGAGAACCCUGUUCCAAACAAGGAGAACGGAAAUUUAUUUAACCAAUCUCGCCAAGAAAAAGAUCAUGAAGCAUGUGGAGUAGUUCACUAGAUGUGUCCUAAAAUACGAAAGAUGCAACAUAGCAGAUGACUAGGUGAUGCUUGAUGAUGAUUGGAACAAUAAAUUUAUUCAGGUUAAAUAACCAUUCUUCAAAACUAGCAAGCCAAAAAAUCAUGCAAAUGUUAGCAAUCAAAAGGACAAUAAACUAUAAUAUAAGCAGGCUCAACCAACAUGGGGGUCUAACUCCUAUGAGACCUGAGAUAGAUAGUAGAGGAAUUAAGUAAAACGAUGCAGAGGGAAAGGAUUAGAAAGUUCCGUAAUAGGAAACAGUAACAAACCUGAAGCAAUUUCUGAUGCAAGCAUCUUCUUGGCAGAGUGACGUUUUAACCAGCAUUUGCAGCGUAACCUCCAAACUUUUCUUGAUUUUCCCUCAGUAAAAAAUUUUGGCAUCUUAUUGUAGUUAACAGAGAGCUUUGGAAUUUGUUCACCUUCAUUCCCAUUGAGACAUACUGACAAUCGAUCCUCUUCAUGUUGAUAUAGUUUGAGGAAGCAUGAAGCCAACUCCCUCCAUGUAUUGGACUCUGGAUUGGUAGCUUCCAAAAGCAAAGCAAACAUCUCCACAAGGGAUUCCAGACUAAAGUCCCUUGAAAAGAAUAUCAAAAUCACAGUUAUUCCUUUAAUUGGACUGUUUGGUGCCAUAUUCUCCAAUGGUGGAAUCUCUCAUGGGCUGUCCCUUGGUCCCUAGCCUCACACAUUCAAAGCUGGUCGCAAUGCUAUCAUUGGAACUCUGCCUUGAAACAUUGGAUGGUUGUGUGUGGGGCAACUUUAUGGUCUCUUUGGUUGGCUAGGAAUGAAUCUGUAUUUAUCAGAAAAGUUUGGGAUAGUAAGGAAAUUUUCUUCCUUAUUCGUAUGAGAUCUGCCUUCUGGUUACGGGCAUGUGACGGUAUGGAAUCGGUGGAUGAAAUUGGAUGGUGGACUGAACCAUGGGAAGUAGGGGUUCUUCGCACCCCUCUCCACAGUCGCCUUAACAUUCAUUGGUGCCCUCCGCCAGAGGAGACUUUGAAAUUUAAUGUUGACGGCUCCACCAGAGGAAAACCAAGGCCUGCAGGAUGUGGAGGGGCUCUUCGAAACUCAGAGGGAUUUCUUGUUGGGGUGUUCUUUGGUCCUCUUGGAGUUUGGGAUUCUAAUUUUGCCGAAAUCAAGGCAAUCAAGCAUGCUCUCCACCUCUUUUCUUUUUCCCCUUAUGCAACCACAAACAAGCUUCUCAUUGAGUCUGAUUCUAAAAUUGCCCUUUCCUGGAUUCUCCAUCCCAGCAAGAGACCUUGGGAUAAAUGGAUUCUCUUAUUUUGCAGCUCAAAGAAGUUUCUUUCCAGCACACUCUUAGAGAAGGAAACUCCUUUGCUGAUUCUCUUGCAAAAUAUGGAGUUGAUAAAAAGUCUAUGUUCUCUGCCUGUUGGUAGUUUGUCUCUGUUUUCUUCUGCUGUUUUUAUGGCUUGUCCUUCUCCUCACAUGAAGCUGGUUUGGAUUUUUUGUUUUUUCCUUCUUCCUCACUUAAUGUCAUAGAGGUUUUAGGUUGAACUGUGUUUGUGUUCAUGAUUAUUGUUCUGAUUUUUAACAUCAUGGGUUAUCUGAACUGAUUGUUUGGAGCUGCUAUCCUUCAAUUUGUGUCUUUAGGUCGGAUUGUCAAGGUCUGUACUGCUAGUUUGCAUUUGUACAUGAUGUCAAGGUGUCUUAUGUUCUGUUCAAACGGACAAACUCUGGUCCUUUUGUAUUUCUUGGAUUCUUCCAGGUUCUCCCUUUUGAGAUGAUUAAUUGAAUAUAUUCCCUGAUUGAGCAAAAAAAAAAAAAAUCACAGUUAUAUAUGCAAAAACUUCUAUGAUUAAGAGAGAGAGAGAGAGAGAGAGAUUGUCAAAACCCAAGUUCAAAUAUUGCAAAAGCAGACAAAAAGAGGGAGGGGACCUCGGUGGUGACUAUGUGUCACAACUAGGUGAUGGAAUCACUGCAUUGAAACAACUGUCAAAUGAAGUGGGUACUGGUCUAUCUGGCAAGAUAAUUGAUAAUAUACCAUUUUGAUGCAUGCUGACAAGCCUUGCCAAUGAGUGGCAGCAUGUUGGAUCCUUCUUCAAAGUCUUCUCAAAACAUGUAGAGAGCAUGACAGAAUCAUUAGAAUAAAAACACUCUAAAACACUGGCCCUUAAUCUGCAAAAGAUCAACACAUCAAUGUUUUGUAAAGGCAACAAAUGGACCAACUGGAAAUAUUAGCAUACUGCAAGAAUAAUUAAAUCUUCUCCAUAAUAUUUUUAAAGUGCUCCUGAAAGUAAAGAUUCCAUGGGAGAGAGUAGAAAAUAAUUAAAAUAUCAAGCCAAUUCUACUAAAGGAAAACUUCUGAGCGAAGAGGGAGCUUUAGCCUCGGAUACACCCAAGGGAGAUUUCUGCACAAGAUAUAUUUGUCAAGACAGAAGAAAAAGGAAAGUAAUGUCAACAAAAACUAUCUGCCUUAUCACAAAAAUCUCUGCAAAGGCAACAGUACCAUAAUGUCCCUUGGAACAACUAGUACUAACACAUUCAGAUAUAAUAUUUUCCCCAAAAGAUUAUCGCCAGACAUAACUGCCACAAGAAAUACCAGAGUUGUAAUCAUUAGUUGAGUCCUCUAGCACUUAUCUUCAUAUUCCUUUUUCUGUUAUUCUCAAGUUAUCUGAGUUAAGCCAAAAUGAAAUAAAGUACCUUUGGGAUUAUAUUUUCCAAUAUGAAUUCACUUCUUAGCAAUCAUGGAAAAAAAGGGAGGGGGGAACAAAAUUAUUUGGUAGGUUGAUACCUAAAUGGAAAGGGCACUCUUGAAUUGUUACAGAACGUUUCGACUUCACUUAGGGCCUCAUUCACUUGACCUCCAAUCAGCAACAACUGGCAUAAAACAGACCAAAAGAGAAAAAAAAAAUAGUGUUUGAAUCAGUAAGAAAGAAUAACUUUAAAAGUAAUUAAAUUCUGUACCAUACUAUUAUAUACAUAUAGAUCCCUUUUUGUGUUUUGACUAAUGUAUAUCUAAAUCUCUAUAAGAAUAUUAAAAGAUGCUCCAGCUUACCAUUUAAGAUGUUCAAAAUACAAAAAAAAAAAUUGUAAGGGAAACAUAAUUAUACCUGCACUAAAGGAAGUAAUGCUGCUGACAUAACUAAAAGUGUCGCAGGUCUGCCUUGUUGCCAACAAGCAUAAUGACAAUAUUGGAGUCCGUGUGAUCUCGUAGCUCCUUCAACCAUCUCUCAACAUUCUCAAAUGUGACAUGUUGAGUAACAUCAUAGACGAGCAAUGCACCAACAGCUCCUCGGUAGUACGCACUUGUAAUUGCUCGGUAUCUUCGUAAGGAAUAUGACAAGAAAUCAACUCUCAAAAAGCUUAUAGAACACAUU